GAUCCGCCGCUCUUGCAGCAGCAAUAGCAGCUGUUUGACUGUCGAGAUCCGAUGCAACCCACUUGUGGGUUUUUAUUUUGGGCCUGAAAAAAAUAGUCAGACUUCAGACUGCAAUUGUGGAUUCAAAAAACGUCCCAUAUUAAACGGGCUCGUCAGUCAAAUCUCAAAUGUACCAAGUUGUGCUAGUAUACGUGGGUCUCGUUUGCAAAAAAAUAAAUCCAAACACCCAGCGGUUCAGCCAUCAUCGCAUGAGGAGCCUUUCUCGUUUCUUCCGCACUCUGCUGCGCAUCUUACUUCCCUGAUUCUUUUCAAAUUAUAUAACGUUGCAAUGAUUACUGCUAUUUUCUGCUAUCUAUUCCCUGUACAUAGGGACAAUAAUAUCAUUUCUCAUCCAUAUCCUUAGGACUUUGGAUCCAAAGACUAAAUUUUAGUUCUGCACUUUUAGCUCAAAAUUCAGCUCUUGGAAUCCAAACAGGUGGGCAAAAGGGAGCAAAGAGUUAAAAUAUGGGCUAAAAUCUUUUGCUCACAAAGAGACCCUAAAAGGCGCUAAAAGUGCUCCCGGAUACCAUUAUUCCCCACUUGCCCCCUCCCCUCUCUAUCCUCCCCGCACUCUCUCUCUCUCCAUUCUCUUACCCCGCACGCUCCACCCGACGGAGCCUCCUUCGCCCGCUGCUGCCGCCUCCGCCUUGCCUUGCCUCGCCGGCGCCUCCGCCUCCGCCGAGCCCAAGCCGCCACCUCCUCCUUCGCCUCCGCCUCGCCUCGCGCGGAGAUCUGUCGGCGCAGGGCGGCCCUCGGAUCUCGCCGCAGCGGCGAGUCCGCGGGAGACGGCCCCCCACUGCGCGACCCCGGCAUCGCGUGUGGUGGGCGACCGUCGGCGGCGGCUUCCGGUCGUCGUGUGUGCUAGCUAUACUACAAGUCGGCUCAAGGCGGUUCCGGUGGCCACGGCGGAGCAGGAGAGCAUGGCCGACGGAGCAAAAAGUGGCUGGGAGUGGGUGCGGAGGCGCUGGCGAGCAGCGAGGGACGCGAUGGGGGGCGUCUGCGAAAGCAAUGGCGGGUGGAUUUGGAGGAGGAAGAAGGGUAGUGAGUGCAAAGGUUAGGGAAGAAGGUGUAUGCGCCAGGGGUAGGGAAGGAGGGUAAAAGUGUCUUUGUUCAAUAGCAUUUAUGGACUUUAGUCCAUUUUAGUCCAUGGAUCCAAACAGCCCAGCAGGACUAAAUUUUAACUAAAUUUUAGGAGCUAAAGUUUAUGAGUUAAAAUUUAGCCCAUGAACUACUGAUCCAAACACCACCUUAAAAUGCACUUAAAAUGCACUUGUAUGGGGAGAGGGAGUAUCUUGGACAUUUGGUGGUACCUGCGCAGCAGGUGGCACAUCCAGGCCCCCUCGCGAAUGUUAGAAAAGUCAACAAGACUAAGACCCUGUCACGGUGCCAUUGUGCCAAUGUUGGCUACUAGCUGUUACCCAUGAACACCCGAGCUGUGGGGGCGAUGAAUCUGGUAAAUAGAAGAGGUGGGGGCGAUGAAUCUGGUAAAUGAAAUGGACAGCACCGCUCCUCCCUCUGCAUACUAGACAUUUAUCAAGUUUUUACUCGUUUUUCCGGUUGGAGUGAAACAGCUCAAUCACGCCAGCGAUCUGCCGGUAACCGAUGCCGAUCAAGAUCCUCUUCUGUGGAACGCGCCAAGGGAACACGCCUCGUCCAGCUCGAAAGGGGGACGCGCAAUCGGUCUAGCCGUCCAGAGGCCGGAGAGGAGUCGCCGUCCAAGCUCUCGUAGUCUCGUACUCUCAUCCAGACGCAGACGCAGGCGACGAGCGGGAAGAUGCUUUCCAGUAGUUUCCAGCACAGCUCGACGUCCAGGGAUAAACAAGAGCCCCGCAAGGAGUUCGUGCUGAAUGUUUACUAGUAUCACCACAUGUCGUGCAACGACUGACCAUUAAACAAUCGGCGACGUCGGGGGCCCGGAACGAACCUGCUCCUCGCCACUCUUCUAAUCAAAACGAAUAAUCAGAGACCAUUUUUUUAAGAAAAAUAUAAUCAGAGAGGAUCAAUCAAAAAGCAUGGACCACGCGCGCACGCUGCGUGCAAAGUCCCAAAGAAACGCUUCCCAGAUCUGAAAGUGAGACGGCGACCGGCUCCAGCGGCGCAUGUUGUACUCGUGCCAAUUAUGGAGCCACCUUGGCCGGUGGCCGGUGCCGGAGCUCCGGCCAGGAAAAGGCGAGGACCCGUCACCGAUGAGCGCGAUGACCACGCGCGCCGCACCUAACCCCGGUCUGCCACCGCACGCCCUGCUUAAAUAGAGAGACACGCAGCCACUGCUGGCACUGAUCGCACCCACCACUUGCCUGCCACCAAAUCCAAUUCCCCAGCGCGAAUCGAGCCCAACCUCGUCAUGGCCGCCGCGCUGAGAGCCGCCCGGUCCCCGGUGCCCGUCAAGGCCGGGGGGGCCUCCGGCGGCGCCGCGGGCUUCGCCGCCACGCCGCGGCAGCAGGCGGCGCUGUCGAGGGUCGCGGUGGCCGGGAACACGGCGCGGCGGGGCCGCGGCGCCGUCCGGGCGUCGCUGUUCUCGCCCAAGCCCGCGGUGGCCAAGGACGCGCGGCCCACCAAGGUGCAGGAGCUCUACGUGUACGAGCUCAACGAGCGGGACCGGGAGAGCCCCGCCUACCUCCGCCUCAGCGCCAAGCAGACGGAGAACGCGCUGGGCGACCUCGUCCCCUUCACCAACAAGGUCUGUCUGUCCUCUUUUUUUUGUCUUGCUGCUCGAUCCGCUCUGUUCCUUGCACCCUGCUUGAUCGGCGACGGCCUCGAUCUCUUCUUUGUUCGCAGGUGUACAGCGGGAGCCUCGACAAGCGGCUGGGCAUCACGGCGGGCAUCUGCAUCCUGAUCCAGCACGUCCCGGAGCGCAACGGCGACCGGUACGAGGCCAUCUACAGCUUCUACUUCGGCGACUACGGGCACAUCUCGGUGCAGGGCCCUUACCUGACGUACGAGGAGUCGUACCUGGCCGUCACCGGCGGCUCCGGCGUCUUCGAGGGCGCCUACGGCCAGGUCAAGCUCAACCAGAUCGUCUUCCCCUUCAAGAUCUUCUACACCUUCUACCUCAAGGGCAUCCCGGACCUGCCGCGGGAGCUGCUCUGCACCCCCGUCCCGCCCUCCCCCACCGUCGAGGCCACACCCGCCGCCAAGGCCGGCGAGCCGCACGCCUGCGUCAAGAACUUCACCAACUGAUCGGAUUCGGUUCGACGUCGUCGCGUAGCAACCAGCAGUCGCUGUCAGGAUCGGAGAGAUGGCUUCUCUAGCUCUCUGU
rnacentral:lncRNA from 1 species